rnacentral:rRNA from 1 species
UACGGAGGGUGCGAGCGUUGUCCGGAAUCAUUGGGCGUAAAGGGCGCGUAGGUGGCCCCUCAAGCGUGCGGUGAAAGUCAGGGGCUCAACCCCUGAUCAGCCGUGCGAACUGGGGAGCUUGAGCACUGUAGAGGCAGGCGGAGUUCCGGGUGUAGCGGUGGAAUGCGUAGAGAUCCGGAAGAACACCGGUGGCGAAGGCGGCCUGCUGGGCAGUUUUGCUGACACUGAGGCGCGACAGCGUGGGGAGCAAACAGG